rnacentral:rRNA from 1 species
AUGCUGUACCUCCCAUUCUUCCAUUUUCCCCCUUUGCUGCUCGCUCUCAUGGCCACCGCCGCCUUCCUUCCCCCCGCCCCAAUCUUUCGCCCUCGCACCCCCACCGCUCGCCACCGUGGCUUACCCAUCUGCGCCGCCGCCUCCGACGCGCCGCCGCCAGAUGCCGAGACGGACGAGGGAGAGGCCCCACGCGGCGGCCGGAAGGACCGCCGCCGCGUGGUGCGGAUCGCGUGGGAGAAGCUCGUCCGGUGGUCUCGCUCCUGGCGCAGCCGCAACCGCAGCGACGUCCUCGAGACCACGCGCAAGGUGGUGGUCCUCGGAGGGGGCUCGUUCGGAACGGCGAUGGCGGCGCAGGUGGCAGCCAAGAAGCCCGACCUUGAGGUGGCCAUGCUGCUCCGGGAUGACCUCGUCUGCCGCUCCAUCAACGACCGCCAUGUCAACUCCAAAUACUUGUCAGAAUACAGCUUGCCAGAAAAUAUUGUUGCAACAACUAGUGCUAGUGAAGCUUUAGCAGGAGCUAAUUUCUGCUUCCACGCUGUCCCUGUUCAGUUCAGUUCAUCCUUUCUUGAGAGUAUUUCAACAUAUGUUGAUCCAAAGUUGCCAUUCAUAUCACUUAGCAAAGGGCUGGAACUUAACACCCUUCGGACAAUGUCUCAAAUCAUUCCUCUUGCACUGGGAAAUCCUCGCCAACCAUUUAUUGUUCUGUCAGGACCUUCUUUUGCAGUAGAACUGAUGGAGAAACUACCAACAGCUAUGGUGGUGGCAUCCAAAGACAGAAAGCUGGCAAGUGCUGUUCAACAGCUCUUAGCAUCUUCAAAUUUGAGGAUAAGCACAUCAAGUGACGUUACAGGGGUAGAAAUUGCAGGCGCACUUAAGAAUGUUCUUGCAAUAGCAGCAGGUAUAGUUGAAGGUAUGCAUCUUGGAAAUAAUUGUAUGGCUGCCCUUGUUGCUCAAGGCUGUUCUGAAAUUCGGUGGUUGGCGACAAAGAUGGGAGCAAAGCCAACAACCCUUUCUGGUUUAUCUGGCUCAGGUGAUAUCAUGCUUACAUGUUUUGUAAAUCUUUCACGGAACAGAAAUGUGGGAUUGCGUCUUGGUUCAGGCGAGAAACUUGAUGAGAUCUUGAAUUCAAUGAAUCAGGUUGCUGAAGGUGUGUCAACUGCUGGCGCUGUCAUUGCAUUAGCUCAGAAGUACAACGUCAAACUGCCAGUCCUGACAGCAGUUGCACGAAUAAUUGAUAAUGAACUAACUCCGAAGAGAGCUGUUAUGGAGUUAAUGAAUCUUCCACAGGUGGAGGAAGUCUAA